UACGUAGGGGGCAAGCGUUAUCCGGAUUUACUGGGUGUAAAGGGAGCGUAGACGGUUUAGCAAGUCUGAAGUGAAAGCCCGGGGCUCAACCCCGGUACUGCUUUGGAAACUGUUGGACUUGAGUGCAGGAGAGGUAAGUGGAAUUCCUAGUGUAGCGGUGAAAUGCGUAGAUAUUAGGAGGAACACCAGUGGCGAAGGCGGCUUACUGGACUGUAACUGACGUUGAGGCUCGAAAGCGUGGGGAGCAAACAGG
rnacentral:rRNA from 1 species